rnacentral:piRNA from 1 species
UGGCAUGGGGAAUGCAGACCGCUC